CCCUUAGAUGUUCGGGGCCGCACGCGCGCUACACUGAAGGAAUCAGCACGUCUUUCUCCUUGUCCGAAAGGACUGGGUAACCCGCUGAACCUCCUUCGUGCUAGGGAUUGGGGCUUGUAAUUCUUCCCCAUGAACGAGGAAUUCCUAGUAAGCGCGAGUCAUCAGCUCGUGCUGAUUACGUCCCUGCCCUUUGUACACACCGCCCGUCGCUCCUACCAAUUGAGUGAUCCGGUGAGUAAUUCGGACUGGAGCAGUGUUCAGUUCCUGAACGUUGCAUCGGAAAGUUUAGCAAACCUUAUCACUUAGAGGAAGGAGAAGUCGUAACA
rnacentral:rRNA from 1 species